AGUUAGCGUCAAAGAUGCAGCUGCUCCCCCAUUUCUACAGCAGUCAGUCAAAAAAAGACCACAAAGUGGCAGUUGUUCUCUUUGGCCACUGUUCUGUCAUCUAACUGAUUUGUGACAUUUUGGGAAAAGACGGCU